ensembl:lncRNA
AUGUUCUUUCUGCUCCGCUGCGCAGCCAGUGAUACCCGGGGCCUCAUGCAUGAGAGAAAGACGUUCACCCAACUGAAGCUUCAGGUGACAGUCCCAGAGGAGGGAAGCCAGAGGACUUUUAUUUCCCCUGGUAACUUCCUUGUGAAUCCAGGCAGACGCUACCCCAUCAGGUGGAGAAAGUGCUACGUAAGUCCCAACUAUGGGAAGGAUUUCUUAAAAUUUCUUAAAAUUACCUCUCAACUUCUAGAGGAUCCCUAAUGCCCAUGCCCAGGGAGUUCAUUCUCUCACCCCAUUCCAUAAAUCAGAACAAGGCCCAUCUCAGCCUCCUUUUUGAGGACUGUAAUCCCUUGUCCUCCUACCCCAUCCUAUAUGGCCCUUCACCCUCCAUCACUCACCUACCCUCUGCUGGCCUCCUACUGGCUCCAGGGUGUUCUCCUGAGGUAUAGUGAUAAGACCUCCCCCGUCUAUCAUUCAGGGUCCCAACAGGAAUAGGAGAGCACACUGAACAUAAGAUAGAUUUAUAAAUGUGUAGGUACAGGGGAACCCCAAGGGAUAGUGCUGUAACUUGGGGCCAGCAGCAGAACUAUUACCAACCCCUCUCAAGGGAAGGAAGUAUACUCUGUUACCAGAAUCCAGAGAACCUGGAAGGAGUCAAGUGACCAAAGGACACAGCCAGGCAGGGGACCUCACCAGGAGGCAGCCAGAUGAAUAGGUACCUUCGUGCUACUCUCCUCUCUGCCCCUCCGUCCCAUCCCCAUCUCCUGUGGAGCUCUCCACUGGUCAAACCCACCUGAAGCCAGAGGGACCUCGAUGUGAGGUCUGUAAUUGUCAGGGAGUCCUGUACAACAGGAAUUCUCAUGAGGGCUGUGACCACCCCCGAGGAGACAAAUCCUGGCUCUUGGGACGUGAAAAAAAUCUUAGAUAUCCCAGUGGCUGGUGGCCCUCCAAAGGUCCACAGCAUAUAAAAAGAUACACAGUAUAUGCAUGCAAUUAAAAUUUCAUGGGGGUGGUGCAAUUGGCAUAAAAGUAUCCACAAGAGUACUUGCCACGGGAGGGGGCAAUAAUGAAAAAUAGGUUAAGCAGCACUGGAUUAUAGAGACCCAAAGCUCUUUCUUGCGCUGUCACUGAGAGCUUCAAUCUGUCACCGUCAAAAGUACAAUUUAUACUACUCUUCUCUAAACUGGUGUAUGUAACAAUAUACAUCUAUAUGUAUUCUCUGUGCAAUGUAUAAUAAAAACAAAGUGCAGUUUGAUUAUUUUUCUCCUAAUGCUUUCCUCCACCUACCCUUGCCCACGCUGUCCAUCAGAGCGCUCACGAGUCUCCAGCGUCUCCCUGCAGCUUCCGGCUUUCGGUCAAGAUUUCUCCACAAGGAAGAGCUCCGCGUCAUUGGUGAACCAGGCAGUUUCAACGUACAGCUCCCUCCUCUCUCGAGAGCUCAAGCCACAAUAUAUUUAAGUGCUAAUCAUUGCAAUGAAUACUGAAUUAUCAGACAUGCCCCUGCCUUUCAGGCCCUCACAAUGUCACUAGAGAUGUCACAAAAACGUCACUAGGGCUGUCACAACCUCUACGAGGUAAUAGAUGAACUGUGACGAUAGGGCAAGGAAGCUGAUUUGCACAGGUGGGUUGGGAAGGCAGAGCACCUGACGGUCCCAUCUCAAAUCGCUAAGGGCCAGUUAACCUGGUUAACCGGGACCCUCAGGAGCAUCAGUUCCCGAACCAGAAGUCCUACCAUUAACACUUUUCCAUCCAGAGAAAGGCUUAUUUAUCCUUACUCCAUAUUUCUUAUCUCUAAGCCAGUUCACUAUGGCCACCAGACAUUCCCCCCAUUCCCAUGGUGACUCAACAGGCUUUGGUGUGGAGUCUGUCAGAAGCUUCUUAAAAGUGUAAAUAGAGUGUGUCUACUGUUUCGCCCUUAUCCGUACACUUAUUUGGCCCUUCAAAGAGCUCUAGUAGAUUAGGGAGGCACGAUUUCCCCUCACCAAAGACAGGCUGCCUUUCCACAGGAGGUGGGGUUUGCUCAAGUGCCCCAUAAUCCUGCUGUGAGAGGUGCUGCGGACUGGCUUGGCGUGGAAACAAAACUUGUGGGCCAUUUCCCAGAAGCCCCUCUGGCACCCUUAGGUUCUUGAGCACAGAGGUCAGUCAUCAGAAAAGGCUCUCCUUUCGUCCUGUUCUUCCAUGAGGUUGAUCUUCUUACUUAUCUGGGGAAAGACGUGUAGGCAAAAUGAAAAUAGAGUGUGCUUGCUUUCCAUGACUCGGAGAUUUGAGGCACUCUUAGGCAUCUGAACUCAUACAGAAGAUAGUGGUAAGGUUAUCUGUAUCGCAUUUCGUUUUAUGACAUAUCACCUUGUUUACACCCCUCUUUAGGAUGUUUAUAGGAUAUAGAAUACCUUUAAAUGCUCUGGUCCUGUUUAGCAAUCUUUUUUUCUCCCAACAAUAAAAAAUUUUAAAGGCAGCAAUUGUUCUAAGAAAUGACUAUUGUACUUAAGGCACAAAGAUGCUUUAAUGGGGAAAGACAGUUUGUCUUGUAUCUUGGCCUCCUGUAUCUUUUUGAACCAGGCUUUGAUGCUCUGUGGAGCUUUCUGACUCCAUCGUCGAGCUAUGCAGCAUUUUGCAGUUAUUAAGAGCAAAUGAGUUUCUUCUUUAAACACAGACCUCUGCUUAGCACAUUUAGUACUAUUUGACUUGGGUCUCAAGAUAGCGCUGUUCCCGGAAUGGACUUCACAUGCUGAAAAUUUUUUUUUAAUUACCC